rnacentral:piRNA from 1 species
UACUCAGGAAAAGUCUUCCUGUGAUGAGUC